AUUCAAUAUUUUAGUUUGCUCGAGUUCCUUCUACUUUAAAACUCUUGUUUUAAAAACCUGUUUACCACGUUGCGGUGUGUGGUUGGCUUUUGUGAUUCCGCUGUCCCUGAUUCAUGCCAUCUGAGGAGAAGGCCCACGUCCACGUGUGUGUGUAUCUCCUGGUAGACCUGCCAGCUACUUAUCCGUCUUCUUUCCUAAAGCCAGAGAAGGAGGAAUCAAACCUCAGUAGGAAGAAGGAAGAAUCAAACUACAGCAGGAGAAACAGGCAAUUCCUGCUGAACAAACAUCACUUUUACCAGGGUGUAAAAAAACCAGCCUCCUGGAUCUCCUCACCAUCUCAGUCCAUGCAGAUCUAAGUCUUCACUCCAUCUCCUCAUGCAGAGGUGAACGUUGGAGACCCUGGCUGAAAACUCCUCUGCAGGAGAUCAAGCUGUGCUGCUUUUGGGAUCCUGUGGUUGGCCACGUGCAGGAAAAUCA